GGAUGUGAAGGAAAUCUUACUGUGACUUCUGUCACCCCACUGAUCACCAGGGUUGAUUCCGUUGGUCUGGCUGGCCAGGCGGGUGUCCCCCUCUUCUGUCACUGCUCUGUGUACCAGGUGCAUCCCCCCAAAAUUGCAAGCUUGGUCAAAGUGGACCACUGUCUUUGAUAGAGGAGGACCGUGAUUCAGUCAGGGGUAUAUGAGUAGCUGUACUUCCCUGCUAGAACCUCCAAAUAAGCUCUCAAAGUACAAGAGACCAAAGCCCUCACCACCAGAGAAUU
rnacentral:snRNA from 1 species